rnacentral:misc_RNA from 1 species
AAACAUUUUAAGACCAUAAAGUUUACAGUAGUUUUGAAGCUCAACCAUUGAGCCUGUGCGAAGAAAAAAGGCUUGCUAACACCAAACGUUAUGGCAAGUAUCCGAUUAAUCUCGACAAGUAGAGUUCAAGCAACAAGCAGGCCAGAGUCAUCAACACAGAGGAUUGAGUUAACAUCAAGCGAUCUUAAGCUCCUUUUGUUUGGAUCCAUCCAAAAGGGACUUCUUUUCCCGAAACCCAAACCGAAUCCAUCAUCGGAAGUGAAAAGAUUGGAUGAAACCUUAAUCCAACACUUGAAGAACUCGCUUUCUCGCACACUAGCUUUUUCCACCCCACUUGCAGGCCGCCUAGCAAUAGAAGAACACGAUGAUGAAACUGCCUCUUUCUUCAUCGAAUGCAACAAUGCCGGAAUCCAAUUUGUUCAUGCUGUGGCCGAUGAUAUUACCAUUUCUGACAUCCUCGAACCCAUCUAUGUUCCUCCCUUUGUUCACUCAUUCUUUCCACUAAAUGGGGUAAGAAACUACGAGGGUGUUUCCAAACCAUUGCUAGCUGUUCAAGUUACAGAGCUUGUCGAUGGAAUCUUUAUAGCUUGCACCAUGAACCAUUCAGUUUCCGAUGGCACAACGUUUUGGAAUUUCUUCAAUUCCUGGUCUGAAAUUUCUCGCAAUAAUUCAGAUCGGACUUCUAAACCACCUGUCAUUGAACACUGGUUUCGUAGCCAUUGCACUAUCCGGUUGCCUCUCUCAAUCUUCAGAACUGAAAAUGGAAUCAUUCGAACAUCGCCUUCGUUCCAGGAGAGGGUUUUCCAUUUCUCGAAAGAAAAAAUUGCAGGUCUCAAAGCACAAGCCAAUGCUGAGGCUGGCUGUGAGAAGAUCUCCUCUUUACAAUCAGUCUUGGCACAUCUUUGGCUAUCUGUAAUUCGAAAUCGUCAACUCAUUGAUCCCAAUCAAGAGACGAACUUCCACUUGAUGGUUGGUAUUAGAUCAAGAUUGCAGCCACCUUUGCCAGGAGAGUAUUUUGGAAAUGCGGUUCAGGGAGUGACAGUGACGUUGAAAGCAAGAGAGGUAAUCAAGCAAGGACUUGGCUACACAGCUCUAGAGAUGAACAGGAUGGUUAAUACUUACACAGAAGACAAGGUCAGAAAAGUUUUAGAGUCUUCGAUACAGCAGCCUAAGAUACUUAAAAUGGAUGGCAUUCCACAAGAUGAUUUGGCGGCAAGCAGUUCACCGAGGUUUAAUGUUUAUGGAAAUGAUUUCGGGUGGGGAAAGCCAAUUGCAGUAAGAAGUGGACCUGAGAACAAGUUUUGUGUGAAGAUAACCGUUUUUCCAGGAGUUGAGGAAGGGAGUAUGGACACUGAAGUUUGCACUUUUCUUGAGAUUUUGGAGGCCAUGGGACAUGACUCCGAGUUCAUGGCUGCUGUCAAUUGAAUUCUCAUCUUCUUCAGAAGAGAUUUAUGAACUUGUUCUGCAUUUUGUUUCCACCCCUUAAUCAGAAUCAUCUAUCAUGUAUAUGUGAUCUUAGUGCUUAAAUUUGAAAUAAAUUUUAGCUUUUUGUUAAAAAAAAUUAAGAUUGUAGAAUCGGAUAUCCGUGGGGUUGUACUGAGGGAUGGUGAAAGUGCAUUUAUUGCUAGUCCUUUCUGGAUAAUUUUCAGAAUGUAGGGCACCAGGGAUUGCAGAAGCCAUGAGGUUAAGAGAGGUGCUGGUGUGGUUGACAGAUUUCUAUUAAAUCAGGGAACUGGUUUGUCUCUGUAUUGGAUUAAAUCAGCAAAAACACUAUAAGAGUUUGAUCUCUUUCAAUUUUUAUGUAUUUUUUAGAAAUAAAUUUGUAAGUUUUUCUAUAAGCAAUAAAUUUAAAUGUA